UUCCCAAGAAUUUGGGUGGUCGCAAAUCCCAGAUGAGCUCCCAAAUGAAAGCCCCCCCAGAGUGGGGAGACCCUCACUCAAGUCUCAGGAUAAGCAGAUGCCCCAAUAAUUCAAGAGAGACC
rnacentral:pre_miRNA from 11 species